rnacentral:rRNA from 1 species
CGCCAGACUCCUACGGGAGGCAGCAGUGAGGAAUAUUGGUCAAUGGUCGGGAGACUGAACCAGCCAAGCCGCGUGAGGGAGGAAGGUACAGAGUAUCGUAAACCUCUUUUGUCAGGGAACAAAGGCGGGGACGUGUCCCCGGAUGAGUGUACCUGAAGAAAAAGCAUCGGCUAACUCCGUGCCAGCAGCCGCGGUAAUACGGAGGGUGCGAGCGUUAUCCGGAUUUAUUGGGUUUAAAGGGUGCGCAGGCGGAGGAUCAAGUCAGGGUUAAAAUGGAGGGGCUCAACCUCUUCGAGCCGUUGAAACUGGUUUUCUUGAGUGAGUGAGAAGUAUGCGGAAUGCGUGGUGUAGCGGUGAAAUGCAUAGAUAUCACGCAGAACCCCGAUUGCGAAGGCAGCCUUCCGGCGCCCUACUGACGCUGAGGCACGAAAGUGCGGGGAUCGAACAGGAUUAGAUACCCGCGUACA